rnacentral:rRNA from 1 species
AAUCAACGCUGGCGGCGUGCCUCAGACAUGCAAGUCGAACGAUUAAAGCUCUCUUCGGAGAGUGUAUAGAGUGGCGCACGGGUGAGUAACACGUAAGUAAUCUACCUUUGAGUGGGGAAUAACCCGGGGAAACCCGAGCUAAUACCGCAUAAUGCAGCGGCACCGCAAGGUGACAGUUGUUAAAGGAGCAAUCCGCUUAAAGAGGAGCUUGCGGCAGAUUAGCUAGNGGUAAGGUAAUGGCUUACCAAGGCUUCGAUCUGUAUCCGGCCUGAGAGGGCGGUCGGACACACUGACACUGAAUAACGGGUCAGACUCCUACGGGAGGCAGCAGUCGGGAAUUUGGGCAAUGGGCGAAAGCCUGACCCAGCAACGCCGCGUGAAGGAUGAAGUAUUUCGGUAUGUAAACUUCGAAAGAAUGGGAAGAAUCAAUGACGGUACCAUUUAUAAGGUCCGGCUAACUACGUGCCAGCCGCCGCGGUAAC